AUCUCUCCCAACACUCAUAGAAUUUCUCAUUCUCUUUAGCUGAGAAGUUUGAAAUUUGCCUUUUCAAGCCAUUUGUUCUAUGAGUAGGAAAAAAUUUCUUGAGGAACUCAGCUUGUAAAUCAGUCCAAGAGCGGAUACUCCUAGGCCUUAAAGAAUUAAGCCAAAUUUUGGCCUUAUCCUUUAAAGUAAAAGGAAAUAACUUAAGCCUCAUCAAGUCAAUUGAAGCUCCU
rnacentral:lncRNA from 1 species